CAUAAACUUUUGAUUGAGAAGAGUACAUACUUAUGAUUGUUUUUCAGAGAGUUGCAGGCGGUGUGAUUGCAAUAAACGGCUUUGUAUGGAAUGGACUCAUAAAGGUGGGAGGAAAGGUCUUUGACUGAGUAAUGCCCAACGGGAUUUCCACCCGUUAUCAAUGGAAUGCGUAUGAUAGUACGUAUUUGAGGGGAUGCGUUUGCAUCAAUCUAGGUGGUACCGCAGAAGUUUAAGGCUUUUGUCCUAUUA
rnacentral:ncRNA from 1 species